GGUGGGGUUUGGCUUCCAAGUAGGGUAACCAGUUUGCCCAGGACUCUUGCUUUGGGCACCAAAGGUUCUGUAUUCUGGGAAACGUCUCAGGCCAAGGCAGUGGGACAGCUCAGCUUUCUGCUCCCAAGGCCUGGCGCUGGGCAGGGGUGGGGAGGAAUGGAGUGGACCCAGGAAGUAAUAGCCACCACCUUUGAGACCCUCCUGUUUCUCCAACAGCCUUCUGUCCAGUCUCCACCUUCACAGCGCCCAUCAGUUUUUCCUGUUUGAAGAUUCUGGUUGCAACCCAACUAAGUCAAUUUCACAACCCAGGGCACCCACAUUUCGUGGUUAGUUGACUUUCCUCCAUCCUCAAAGCCAGCAGCAUUUCACGGAGGAACCUCUCUCUGACUGGGACACUCACGCUUCUGCUUCCCUGUUUUGUGAGAGAAGAAGUGAACUGGGAUAAAGCAGGGACUGCAUUGAAGCAAUUGGCCAUAGGGGAGGAAAUUUUUUUUUUCUCUAAAUGAGUA